AAGUCGUAACAAGGUCUCCCGUAGGUGAACCUGCGGAGGGAUCAUUACAGAGUUCAUGCCCCUUCGGGGUAGAUCUCCCACCCUAUGUUUACAUACCUUUGUUGCUUUGGCGGGCCGCGCCUCGUGCGCCUAGAUUCGCGUCUAGCGUGCCCGCCAGAGGACCCCUAAACUCUGAAUGUUAGUGUCGUCUGAGUGCUAUUAAAUAGUUAAAA
rnacentral:misc_RNA from 1 species